rnacentral:rRNA from 1 species
AAUGAACGCUGGCGGCGCGCCUAAUACAUGCAAGUCGAGCGAGAAGACGUAGCAAUACGUUUGUAAAGCGGCGAACGGGUGAGGAAUACAUGGGUAACCUACCCUAGAGUGGGGAAUAACUAGCCGAAAGGUUAGCUAAUACCGCGUACGCUCCUUGGACUUCGGUUCAGGGAGGAAAGCGAUGCCGAGGGUAUCGCGCUCUUGGAUGGGCUCAUGUCCUAUCAGCUUGUUGGGAGGUAACGGCUCACCAAGGCUUCGACGGGUAGCUGGUCUGAGAGGACGAUCAGCCACACUGGCACUGCGACACGGGCCAGACUCCUACGGGAGGCAGCAGUAAGGAAUAUUGCGCAAUGGGCGAAAGCCUGACGCAGCGACGCCGCGUGGGGGAUGAAGGGUC